GAUGAACGCUGGCGGCGUGCCUAAUACAUGCAAGUCGAGCGAACAGACGAGGAGCUUGCUCCUCGGACGUUAGCGGCGGACGUGUGAGUAACACGUGGAUAACCUACCUAUAAGACUGGGAUAACUUCGGGAAACCGUAGCUAAUACCGGAUAAUAUAUUGAACCGCAUGGUUCAAUAGUGAAAGACGGUUUUGCUGUCACGUAUAGAUGGAUCCGCGCCGCAUUAGCUAGUUGGUAAGGUAACGGCUUACCAAGGCGACGAUGCGUAGCCGACCUGAGAGGGUGAUCGGCCACACUGGAACUGAGACACGGUCCAGACUCCUACGGGAGGCAGCAGUAGGGAAUCUUCCGCAAUGGGCGAAAGCCUGACGGAGCAACGCCGCGUGAGUGAUGAAGGUCUUCGGAUCGUAAAACUCUGUUAUUAGGGAAGAACAAAUGUGUAAGUAACUAUGCACGUCUUGACGGUACCUAAUCAGAAAGCAACGGCUAACUACGUG
rnacentral:rRNA from 1 species